rfam:Marine metagenome ctg_1101668498086, whole genome shotgun sequence.
UAGACGGUGCCCACGUCACUCUCCUUUAGGAUCUUUACCCUUUCCUAAAAAUAAUUGUCGUGGGCAUUAAAAA